rnacentral:rRNA from 1 species
CCUACGGGCGGCAGCAGUGGGGAAUAUUGGACAAUGGGGGGAACCCUGAUCCAGCCAUGCCGCGUGUGUGAAGAAGGCCCUCGGGUUGUAAAGCACUUUCAGUGAGGAAGAACGCCUGGUGGUUAAUACCCAUCAGGAAAGACAUCACUCACAGAAGAAGCACCGACUAACUCCGUGCCAGCAGCCGCGGUAAUACGGAGGGUGCGAGCGUUAAUCGGAAUUACUGGGCGUAAAGCGCGCGUAGGUGGCUUGAUAAGCCGGUUGUGAAAGCCCCGGGCUCAACCUGGGAACGGCAUCCGGAACUGUCAAGCUAGAGUGCAGGAGAGGAAGGUAGAAUUCCCGGUGUAGCGGUGAAAUGCGUAGAGAUCGGGAGGAAUACCAGUGGCGAAGGCGGCCUUCUGGACUGACACUGACACUGAGGUGCGAAAGCGUGGGUAGCAAACAGGAUUAGAUACCCCAGUAGUC